CGUUGUGGGAUGGUGGCUUGAUGUCCCAUGGGGUGGUGGCAUCGUGGUGUGUCCCAUGGGGUGGUGGCAUCGUGGUGUGUCCCAUGGGGCGGUGGCAUCAUGUCCCAUGGGGUGGUGGCAUUGCGUUGUGGGAUGGUGGCUUGAUGUCCCAUGGGGCGGUGGCCCUGUCCCAUGGGGUGGUGGCAUUGUGGUGUGUCCCAUGGGGCGGUGGCAUCAUGUCCCAUGGUGUGG
rnacentral:lncRNA from 1 species